UACAGAGGGUGCGAGCGUUAAUCGGAAUUACUGGGCGUAAAGCGUGCGUAGACGGUUUCGUAAGUCGGGUGUGAAAGCCCCGGGCUCAACCUGGGAAUUGCAUUCGAGACUGCGUAGCUAGGGUGCGGAAGAGGGAAGCGGAAUUUCCGGUGUAGCGGUGAAAUGCGUAGAGAUCCGGAGGAACACCAGCGGCGAAGGCGGCAUCCUGGACUGGUCCUGACACUCAGGAGCGAAAGCGUGGGGAGCGAGUCCGG
rnacentral:rRNA from 1 species